rnacentral:sRNA from 12 species
UAGCGUUGAAGCGGAUGAUGGGGUCAGUUUCCGUACAUCCGUGGAGCUUUGAACGAGGGUUUAGGACAGUUUCCACAGACUGACUUAGGCUUACGCCGAACGAAAAUGUCUUAA